UUGGAUCUUGGGGAGAAUGCAUUGUACAGUGAGAUACCAACCUGGAUAGGGGGAAGUCUUCAAAAUUUGAUUGUUCUUAGCUUGAAAUCUAAUAAUUUUCAUGGAAAUAUACCUUUGCAGUUAUGCCAUCUGGCAUUAAUUCAAGUCCUGGAUCUCUCUUUAAACAAUAUAUCGGGAAAUAUACCAAAAUGUUUCAAUAAUUUCUCAGCCAUGACCCGAGAAAAAAGUUCCAAUCCUAUCAUUGGGUUGGCUGAUAAAAUCUGGAUUCUCCCUAGAUAUGUAUAUAUGUAUAGUUAUUUGGACAAUGUUCUGUUGACAUGGAAAGGAAGUGAACACGAGUACAAAAGUACUUUGGGACUAUCGUACAACAACUUGUCAGGAAAAAUCCCAUUAGGCACUCAACUCCAGAGCUUCAAUGCUUCAGUGUACGCUGGAAAUCUUGAACUUUGUGGCUUUCCACUCGCAAAUAUGUGUCCGGAUGAAGAAUCAGCUCCAAGUCCAGGCACAGACGAUGAUUCAGACACUCUAGAAGAUGAGGACGAUCAGUUUAUAACUCUCGGAUUUUACGUGAGCUAUUCACUGGAGGGUCUAUCUUUAGUUGCCAAUGAUAUCACUGGGCCAUUACCUGAUCUUGUAGGGUUUUCAUCCCUAAAAACAUUAACACUUGGAGAAAAUCGAUUAAAUGGAACAAUAAACAAAAGCCUCAGCCAGUUGUUGAAGCUCGAGUCUCUGUCACUUGGUACGAAUUCAUUCACAGGUGUUAUCUCUGAAACUUUUUUUUCCAAUAUGUCCAACUUGCAGAUGUUGUACUUGAAUGAUAACUCUUUGACUUUGAAAUUGAGCCAUGAUUGGGUUCCUCCUUUUCAACUGAAAUCGUUAAGUCUUGCCUCUUGCAAGAUGGGACCUCAUUUUCCAAAAUGGCUUCAAACUCAAAAUCAACUUAUCUCCCUUGAUGUCUCCAAUAAUGGAAUCUCGGAUGCUGUCCCUGACUGGUUUUGGGAUCUGUCCAUUGAACUCGUUCUUUUAAAUCUCUCUAACAACCAGAUCAGGGGUAAACUUUCUAAUUUGUCUUUUUUAAGAUAUGAUGAUAUUGUUAUAGACGUCAGUUCAAACCACUUUUGGGGCCCAAUUCCACCACUUCCUUCAAAUUCUACGUUAUUGAAUCUCUCAAAAAAUAAGUUCUCAGGAUCAAUUACUUUCUUAUGUUCUAUUAUAAAAAACACAUGGAACUUUUUUGAUCUCUCGAGUAACUUAUUAUCUGGAGGGCUUCCAGAUUGUUGGUUGAAUUUUGAUAGCUUAUCCAUUCUUAAUUUGGCAAACAAUAGCUUCUCCGGGAAAAUUCCAGACUCGAUGGGCUUCCUACAUAAUAUCCAAACACUGAGUUUACACAACAAUAGGUUAACUGGGGAAUUGCCUUCAUCUUUAAAGAAUUGCUCACAACUGAGAGUUUUGGAUCUUGGGGAGAAUGCAUUGUACAGUGAGAUACCAACCUGGAUAGGGGGAAGUCUUCAAAAUUUGAUUGUUCUUAGCUUGAAAUCUAAUAAUUUUCAUGGAAAUAUACCUUUGCAGUUAUGCCAUCUGGCAUUAAUUCAAGUCCUGGAUCUCUCUUUAAACAAUAUAUCGGGAAAUAUACCAAAAUGUUUCAAUAAUUU
rnacentral:lncRNA from 1 species